rnacentral:rRNA from 1 species
UAGGGAAUCUUCCGCAAUGGACGCAAGUCUGACGGAGCAACGCCGCGUGAGUGAAGAAGGAUUUCGGUUCGUAAAACUCUGUUGUUAGAGAAGAACAGCGCAUAGAGUAACUGUUAUGCGUGUGACGGUAUCUAACCAGAAAGCCACGGCUAACUACGUGCCAGCAGCCGCGGUAAUACGUAGGUGGCAAGCGUUGUCCGGAUUUAUUGGGCGUAAAGCGAGCGCAGGCGGUCAAUUAAGUCUGAUGUGAAAGCCCCCGGCUCAACCGGGGAGGGUCAUUGGAAACUGGUUGACUUGAGUGCAGAAGAGGAGAGUGGAAUUCCAUGUGUAGCGGUGAAAUGCGUAGAUAUAUGGAGGAAAACCAGUGGCGAAGGCGACUCUCUGGUCUGUAACUGACGCUGAGGCUCGGAAGCGUGGGUAGCAAACAGG